GGAGGAGUACCCAAGUCUGGCUGAAGGGAGCGGUCUUGAAAACCGCCAGGGGGUUAACGCCCCGCGGGGUUCGAAUCCCUCCUCCUCCG
rnacentral:tRNA from 1 species